AUAGCAAAUACAGAUAGGCACACCCAAUUAGAGCACAAGCAAGUAAUUCAAGUAAUAUGCAUAUGAUGCAUGCCUGUCCUAUGGCUGAUGAGGCUCAUCUGUCGGUUAUCCAGCCAACCCGACAAGUCUGAAUUGUCCUUAGACUGUCUCCCGACGUGCAUCCCCAAGAGUCUAUGCAUAGAUUUUUCUCAAAUAAUCAAUAUUGCUCAAUGGGGGUAACAUUCCCGGGAAUUUAUAUAGUGCCCGGUCACACUUACGUCGUAGGGUCAACAGAGUAUCGAGUUUUCAACCUGGUACACGUGGUGGCAAGCCACGGCACUUAAUCCAGUGAAUCUCGUAUCUCAGAUUAUUCAAAUUCAUAAGCCAUAUAAAUAAUUCAAUUAUAAUUCAUCAACAUCCACAUCAUUCUCAAUUGCAUCUCAUUCAUCAUCAUACAUUAAACAUAUUCAAUCUUAUCCUUCAUUAUAUCACCUCCCAUUCCAUCCAUCAAUAGUUUCAAUUCAAAACAUAAUUCAUUCUUUUCUAAGAAUCAAACUUCAAACUUAAAACAUACUCACUUUCUUAAUAACUCAAAAUCAAACCAUAUAACCUUUAAAUCUAAAUCUCUUUUAAAUAAUCAUCUAAAUAAAAUCUCUAAUUUUUUAUAAAAUUUUGGCAGCAUCUCCUCUAAAACUCGGACUUUGCCACCCUUUUCGAGUCCAAACCUGCUUUCUUUUCAAUUCAACAUACCCUUCCUCAUCA
rnacentral:lncRNA from 1 species